UUACGGUCAAAUCACAAUAAACACACCGGUUCUUGUUCGAUCACCAAAGUUAAGCAUCGUAGAGUCAGUACUUAGAUGGGGGACCGCUGGGGAACACUUGGUACUGUAAG